AAAUUUGAGUCCAACAGAGCAAACCGGGGGAACUGAAACAUCUAAGUACCCCGAGGAGAAGAAAUCAACCGAGAUUCCGGUAGUAGCGGCGAGCGAACCUGGAUUAGCCCUUAAGCACUCGGUGAAGUAGGUGAACAAGCUGGAAAGCUUGGCGAUACAGGGUGAUAGCCCCGUAACCGACGCUUCAUCGAGCGUGAAAUCGAGUAGGGCGGGACACGUGAUAUCCUGUCUGAAUAUGGGGGGACCAUCCUCCAAGGCUAAAUACUCCUGACUGACCGAUAGUGAACCAGUACCGUGAGGGAAAGGCGAAAAGAACCCCUGUGAGGGGAGUGAAAUAGAACCUGAAACCGUGUACGUACAAGCAGUAGGAGCACCUUCGUGGUGUGACUGCGUACCUUUUGUAUAAUGGGUCAGCGACUUAUAUUCAGUGGCAAGGUUAACCGUAUAGGGGAGCCGUAGCGAAAGCGAGUCUUAACUGGGCGCUCAGUCUCUGGAUAUAGACCCGAAACCGGGUGAUCUAGCCAUGGGCAGGUUGAAGGUUGAGUAACAUCAACUGGAGGACCGAACCGACUAAUGUUGAAAAAUUAGCGGAUGACUUGUGGCUAGGGGUGAAAGGCCAAUCAAACUCGGAGAUAGCUGGUUCUCCCCGAAAGCUAUUUAGGUAGCGCCUCGGACGAAUACUACUGGGGGUAGAGCACUGUUAAGGCUAGGGGGUCAUCCCGACUUACCAACCCUUUGCAAACUCCGAAUACCAGUAAGUACUAUCCGGGAGACACACGGCGGGUGCUAACGUCCGUCGUGGAGAGGGAAACAACCCAGACCGCCAGCUAAGGUCCCAAAGUAUUGCUAAGUGGGAAACGAUGUGGGAAGGCUCAGACAGCUAGGAUGUUGGCUUAGAAGCAGCCAUCAUUUAAAGAAAGCGUAAUAGCUCACUAGUCGAGUCGGCCUGCGCGGAAGAUGUAACGGGGCUAAGCAAUACACCGAAGCUGCGGCAAUAUCUUUUAGAUAUUGGGUAGGGGAGCGUUCUGUAAGCCGUUGAAGGUGAAUCGUAAGGUUUGCUGGAGGUAUCAGAAGUGCGAAUGCUGACAUGAGUAACGACAAAGGGGGUGAAAAACCUCCUCGCCGGAAGACCAAGGGUUCCUGUCCAACGUUAAUCGGGGCAGGGUGAGUCGACCCCUAAGGUGAGGCCGAAAGGCGUAAUCGAUGGGAAACGGGUUAAUAUUCCCGUACUUCUGACUAUUGCGAUGGGGGGACGGAGAAGGCUAGGUGGGCCAGGCGACGGUUGUCCUGGUUCAAGUGCGUAGGCUUGAGAGUUAGGUAAAUCCGGCUCUCUCUAAGGCUGAGACACGACGUCGAGCUGCUACGGCAGUGAAGUCAUUGAUGCCAUGCUUCCAGGAAAAGCCUCUAAGCUUCAGAUAGUCAGGAAUCGUACCCCAAACCGACACAGGUGGUCGGGUAGAGAAUACCAAGGCGCUUGAGAGAACUCGGGUGAAGGAACUAGGCAAAAUGGUACCGUAACUUCGGGAGAAGGUACGCUCUUGAUGGUGAAGUCCCUCGCGGAUGGAGCUGACGAGAGUCGCAGAUACCAGGUGGCUGCAACUGUUUAUUAAAAACACAGCACUGUGCAAAAUCGCAAGAUGACGUAUACGGUGUGACGCCUGCCCGGUGCCGGAAGGUUAAUUGAUGGGGUUAGCGCAAGCGAAGCUCUUGAUCGAAGCCCCGGUAAACGGCGGCCGUAACUAUAACGGUCCUAAGGUAGCGAAAUUCCUUGUCGGGUAAGUUCCGACCUGCACGAAUGGCGUAAUGAUGGCCACGCUGUCUCCACCCGAGACUCAGUGAAAUUGAAAUCGCUGUGAAGAUGCAGUGUACCCGCGGCUAGACGGAAAGACCCCGUGAACCUUUACUACAGCUUGGCACUGAACAUUGAACCUACAUGUGUAGGAUAGGUGGGAGGCUAUGAAGACGUGACGCCAGUUGCGUUGGAGCCGUCCUUGAAAUACCACCCUUGUAUGUUUGAUGUUCUAACUUAGACCCAUUAUCUGGGUUGAGGACAGUGCCUGGUGGGUAGUUUGACUGGGGCGGUCUCCUCCCAAAGAGUAACGGAGGAGCACGAAGGUGGGCUAAUCACGGUUGGACAUCGUGAGGUUAGUGCAAUGGCAUAAGCCCGCUUAACUGCGAGAAUGACGGUUCGAGCAGGUGCGAAAGCAGGUCAUAGUGAUCCGGUGGUUCUGUAUGGAAGGGCCAUCGCUCAACGGAUAAAAGGUACUCCGGGGAUAACAGGCUGAUACCGCCCAAGAGUUCAUAUCGACGGCGGUGUUUGGCACCUCGAUGUCGGCUCAUCACAUCCUGGGGCUGAAGUCGGUCCCAAGGGUAUGGCUGUUCGCCAUUUAAAGUGGUACGCGAGCUGGGUUUAGAACGUCGUGAGACAGUUCGGUCCCUAUCUGCCGUGGGCGUUGGAAGAUUGAAGGGGGCUGCUCCUAGUACGAGAGGACCGGAGUGGACGAACCUCUGGUGUUCGGGUUGUGUCGCCAGACGCAUUGCCCGGUAGCUAAGUUCGGAAUUGAUAAGCGCUGAAAGCAUCUAAGCGCGAAGCGAGCCCUGAGAUGAGUCUUCCCUGAUACUUUAAGUAUCCUAAAGGGUUGUUCGAGACUAGAACGUUGAUAGGCAGGGUGUGUAAGCGUUGUGAGGCGUUGAGCUAACCUGUACUAAUUGCCCGUGAGGCUUAACCA
rnacentral:rRNA from 1 species